rnacentral:rRNA from 1 species
GAUGAACGCUGGCGGCGUGCCUAACACAUGCAAGUCGAACGGGCCGGAGGGAUUUGUUGGGCGGGGUGCUUCUGGGGGCGAGAGAUCGCUGAAGGGGGGCGGAACGUCCAGCGGGUUCAAUAUCUGGUCAGUGGCGGACGGGUGAGUAACACGUAGGUAAUCUGCCCCGAAGUGGGGAAUAACUACUCGAAAGGGUAGCUAAUACCGCAUAAUAUCUCAAGGCGACAGUUUUGAGAAGAAAGGGUGGAAGCCCGCUUUGGGAGGAGCCUGCGGCCGAUUAGCUAGUUGGUGAGGUAAAGGCUCACCAAGGCGAAGAUCGGUAGCUGGUCUGAGAGGACGAUCAGCCACACUGGAACUGAGAGACGGUCCAGACUCCUACGGGAGGCAGCAGUGAGGAAUAUUGCACAAGUAGGGGGAACCCAGAUGCAGCAACGCCGCGUGAGCGAAGAAGGCCUUCGGGUCGUAAGCUCGUUUUCCGGGGAGUGGAGAGGAGGACGAGUACCCGUGGGAAUAAGUCGUAC